AUAGAUGGCUAGGCGGUGCGCUGUUCGGAUCAUCCCCGCGCGGCGGACCCGAUCCAAGCGAGAAGCAGCAAUCCGAUAUCUUGGUGUCGCUCCUGCCGUCAAUGUUCCGGCCGGCCGGCAGUACUGCAGGUCGUACAUCGCGGCGCACCGAAGCCUCGGCUGCCCCACCGCCCUCAACCCGCCGCCAUGGACAGAGGAUCUCUCUCCACCGUACGUCGGAUACCCUACUGCCUGAGUCAGCGCCGCCGGCGACCUUCCCUCCCACUACAGGUUGAAGAGCUAUUGUUUCAGUUCGUCCAUGACACUUAUGGGGUUGUGGGGGAUGUUGCACUCAGAGAACUUGUUCUUGCAGUAGUAGGAUGAACUGGAUCAGAUAUUGGAAGUGGUACUGUCACAUAUCCUGGCAUCUGCUCAGCCUGCAGCAUGGCACAUGAGUCUUUGACAUCAUUGAGGAUUUCUUCAUCGGCAAAUUGGAAGACUGAUGUGGAAUAGGAGAGGAUGUAAAAGCUCCCAAAGUGUGAACCCAUGUGCUCGUCUGCAAUUCCUUGAAGAUGAU